UACGGAGGGUGCAAGCGUUGUCCGGAUUUAUUGGGUUUAAAGGGUCCGUAGGCGGAAUUUUAAGUCAGUGGUGAAAGCCUACAGCUCAACUGUAGAACUGCCAUUGAUACUGAGAUUCUUGAAUAUAUAUGAAGUGGGCGGAAUCGUCAUGUAGCGGUGAAAUGCACAGAUAUGACGCAGAACACCAAUUGCGAAGGCAGCUCACUAAUGUAUUAUUGACGCUGAGGGACGAAAGCAUGGGGAGCGAACA
rnacentral:rRNA from 1 species